CGGAGGGUGCAAGCGUUAAUCGGAAUUACUGGGCGUAAAGCGCACGCAGGCGGUUUGUUAAGUCAGAUGUGAAAUCCCCGGGCUCAACCUGGGAACUGCAUCUGAUACUGGCAAGCUUGAGUCUCGUAGAGGGGGGUAGAAUUCCAGGUGUAGCGGUGAAAUGCGUAGAGAUCUGGAGGAAUACCGGUGGCGAAGGCGGCCCCCUGGACGAAGACUGACGCUCAGGUGCGAAAGCGUGGGGAGCAAA
rnacentral:rRNA from 1 species